CAUUUUUGAGGUUCCCUUUUUUGGGUUCCCUUUUUUUGGAGUUCUAUUUUUGGCAUUUCCCAUUCUUGGAGUUCCAUUUUUGGGUUUCCCAUUUUUUGGGGCUCCCAUUUUAGGAUCCCAAUUUAGGACCCAGUUUUGGGGAGGGAUCCCCGAUUUUUGGGGUCAUUUUUGGGGUUUCCCAUUUUUUGGGUUCCCUUUUUUUGGGGUCAUUUUGGGGUCAUUUAGGGGUCAUUUUUGGGGUCAUUUUUAGGGUUCCCCUUUCUUUGGGGUCAUUUUUGGGGUUUCCCAUUUUUUGGGUUCCCUUUUUUUGGGGUCAUUUUUGGGGUCACUUUUGGGGUCAUUUUUGGGGUUUCCCAUUUUUGGGGUUUCCCAUUUUUGGGGUCAUUUUUGGGGUUCCCAUUUUUGGGGUUUCCCAUUUUUGGGGUCAUUUGGGGGUCAUUUUUGGGGUUCCCAUUUUUGGGGUUCCCCUUUCUUUGGGGUCAUUUUUGGGGUCAUUUUUGGGGUUUCCCAUUUUUGGGGUCAUUUUUGGGGUUUCUCAUUUUUGGGGUCAUUUUUGGGGUUCCCAUUUUUGGGGUUUUCCAUUUUUGGGGUCAUUUUUGGGGUCAUUUUUGGGGUUCCCAUUUUUGGGGUCAUUUUUGGGGUUUCCCAUUUUUGGGGUUUCCCAUUUUUUGGGGUUUCCCAUUUUUGGGGUUUCCCAUUUUUGGGGUCAUUUUUGGGGUUCCCAUUUUUGGGGUUUCCCAUUUUUGGGGUCAUUUUUGGGGUUCCCAUUUUUGGGGUUUCCCAUUUUUGGGGUAAUUUUUGGGGUUUCCCCCAAAUUUUGGGCUUGGAGCCGCGUCGGGCUCCGCGCGCAUGCGCGGGGCAGAGCUAACAGAUGACGUCACCCAUGGCGGAGAGGGCGUGGCUUCGCAAUGACGUCACCACAAUCCUCCCCCGCGUGCCAUCCCCGUGACGUCAUUCACUGAGCAGCGUGGGCGUGGCCUCGGCGCGAAGGGGGCGUGGCUUCCCCGAAGGGGGCGUGGCCUCCCCGCCCGCAGGUGUGGGCGUGGCCCGGCUCAGGUGCGGGGGGCG
rnacentral:lncRNA from 1 species